AGCGAACGCUGGCGGCAGGCUUAACACAUGCAAGUCGAGCGGGCGUAGCAAUACGUCAGCGGCAGACGGGUGAGUAACGCGUGGGAACGUACCUUUUGGUUCGGAACAACCCAGGGAAACUUGGGCUAAUACCGGAUAAGCCCUUACGGGGAAAGAUUUAUCGCCGAAAGAUCGGCCCGCGUCUGAUUAGCUAGUUGGUGAGGUAAUGGCUCACCAAGGCGACGAUCAGUAGCUGGUCUGAGAGGAUGAUCAGCCACAUUGGGACUGAGACACGGCCCAAACUCCUACGGGAGGCAGCAGUGGGGAAUAUUGGACAAUGGGCGCAAGCCUGAUCCAGCAAUGCCGCGUGGGUGAAGAAGGUCUUCGGAUUGUAAAGCCCUUUUGGCAGGGACGAUGAUGACGGUACCUGCAGAAUAAGCCCCGGCUAACUUCGUGCCAGCAGCCGCGGUAAUACGAAGGGGGCUAGCGUUGCUCGGAAUGACUGGGCGUAAAGGGCGCGUAGGCGGUUUAUACAGUCAGAUGUGAAAUUCCUGGGCUCAACCUGGGGACUGCAUUUGAUACGUAUGGACUUGAGUGGAGAAGAGGGUCGUGGAAUUUCCAGUGUAGAGGUGAAAUUCGUAGAUAUUGGAAAGAACACCGGUGGCGAAGGCGGCGACCUGGUCUUUAACUGACGCUGAGGCGCGAAAGCGUGGGGAGCAAACAGGAUUAGAUACCCUGGUAGUCCACGCUGUAAACGAUGUGUGCUGGAUGUUGGGGAACUUAGUUUCUCAGUGUCGUAGCUAACGCGAUAAGCACACCGCCUGGGGAGUACGGCCGCAAGGUUG
rnacentral:rRNA from 1 species